rnacentral:rRNA from 1 species
UACGGAGGGAGCUAGCGUUGUUCGGAUUUACUGGGCGUAAAGGGCGCGCAGGCGGCUUUGUUUGUCAGGCGUGAAAGCCCCGGGCUUAACCUGGGAACUGCGUUUGAUACGGCAGGGCUAGAGUUCGGGAGAGGAGAGUGGAAUUCCCAGUGUAGAGGUGAAAUUCGUAGAUAUCAGGAGGAACACCAAUGGCGAAGGCAGCUCUCUGGUACAUGACUGACACUGAGACGCGAAAGCGUGGGGAGCGAACGAG